rnacentral:rRNA from 1 species
GAAUGCUGCAGUUAAAAUGUCCGUAGUCUGGUCUGCAGCGAAAGCGCGCCGCUCAGAGGCGCGUGUGCUGCAGCUGGUGGCGGGGCGGACGGGGGGCGUGGUAUGCGCGGGCGAGAGAUGAAACGCCAGGACCCCGCGCGGACCGACAGUGGCGAAGGCGGCGCUCCCGGACGCACCUGAGGAUCAAGGACGGAGGCCGGAGGAUCGAAAGUGAUUAGAGACCGCUGUAGUUCCGGCAGUAAACGAUGCCGACACCGCGUGGCGUGUGCUGCGCGGCGGGGAAACCAUAGUGUUCGGGCUCUGGGGAUAGUACGCUCGCAAGGGUGA